GACGAACGCUGGCGGCGUGCUUAACACAUGCCAGUCGAACGGCAAGGCCCUGCUUUUUUGGGGUUCUCGAGUGGCGAACGGGUGAGUAACACGUGAGUAACCUGCUCUUGACUUUGGUAUAACUUCAGGUAACUGGGGCUACUAUCGUAUAGGAGCUCCUGCUGCAUGGUGGGCGUUGGAUAGUUUCGGCUGUCGGGGAUGGACUCGCGGCUUAUCAGCUUGUUGGUGGGGGAGUUGCUUACCAAGGCUUUGACGGAUAGGCGGCAUGAGAGGGUGACCGGGGACAAUGGGACUGAGAGAGGGCGCAGUGGGGAACGGGGGGCAACAGGGGGGAAUAUUACACAAUGGGAGGGAGCGUGAUGAAAAAACGCUGGGGUCGGGAUGACGGCUUUCGGGGUGAAAACAGCUGUAGCUUGUGACGAAGCGGGAGUGACGGUAAUGAGUAAAGAAGCACCGGCUAACUACGUG
rnacentral:rRNA from 1 species